UGGUUCUGAUGCUGAAAUCUGGUCAC
rnacentral:piRNA from 1 species